AUGGUAAAUUGCUCUGAAGUACUGGGAGUGCAGAGACAUGCCUCACCUGAGGACAUUAAAAAGGUGUAUCGAAAACAAGCACUUAAAUGGCACCUGGAAAAAAAAAACCCGAAAAUAAAGAAGCAGAGCGGAAAUUCAAACAAGUAGCUGAGUCAUGUGAAGUGUUGUUGGAUGCUAAAAAGCGGGACAUCUAUGACAAAUAUGGCAGAGAAGGAUUAAAUGGUGGUGGUGGAGGAGGUGGAGUCAUUUUGACAGUCCAUUUGAGUUUGGCUUCACAUUCCGGAACCCAGAUGAUGUCUUCAGGGAAUUUUUUGGUGGAAGGGACCCAUUUUCAUUUGACUUCUUUGAAGACCCAUUUGAUGACUUUUUUGGAAGCCGAAGAGGUCCCCGAGGAAGUGGAAUGAGGUGUCGGCUCCUUUUUCUCUGCCUUCAGUGGAUUUCCUUCUUUUGGAAAUGGAUUCCCUGAUUUUGAUACAGGCUUUACUCCAUUCGGCUCACUAGGUCACGGGGGUCUCACUUCAUUCUCUUCAACAUCAUUUGGCAGCAGAGGAAUGGGCAACUUUAAAUCAAUAUCAACUUCAACUAAGAUACUUAAUGGCAAAAAAAUCAUUACAAGAGAAUUGUGGAGAAUGGUCAAGAACGAGUAGAAGUUGAAGAAGACAGGCAGUUAAAAUCCUUGACGAUAAACGGUAAGAAGCACCUGCUGCGCUUGGCUAACAAGUAA